CUUUUUACAGUAUACUGGUAAUUCAACGCUUCAUGAGUUUUUUUCUGUCUUCACCCGACAUGAAUUUGCUGAAGAUGCCGCGAAGCAAGGUCUACAGCAUGGAAGCUUAAUGGGUUACUCUGUCAGCACAGGAAAGCUUUCAGAUUCUGAUGAAGAUUGUCCGGGAGUUAUUGUAUUAGGAACCCCACACUCUACAUGGAAAAAUGGAAUAGUAGGGGCAGUUUUUGUUUUUUGUUUAAAACAAACCGACAAGAAGUUAUAUUUGAAGAAACAGUUUACAG